AUUGAACGCUGGCGGCAUGCUUUACACAUGCAAGUCGAACGGCAGCGCGGGCUUCGGCCUGGCGGCGAGUGGCGAACGGGUGAGUAAUACAUCGGAACGUGCCCAGUAUUUGGGGAUAGCUCGGCUAAAGCCGGAUUAAUACCGCAUACGACCUGAGGUUGAAAGCGGGGGAUCUUCGGACCUCGCGCUAUUGGAGCGGCCGAUGGCAGAUUAGCUAGUUGGUGGGGUAAAGGCCUACCAAGGCGACGAUCUGUAGCUGGUCUGAGAGGACGACCAGCCACACUGGAACUGAGACACGGCCCAGACUCCUACGGGAGGCAGCAGUGGGGAAUUUUGGACAAUGGGCGAAAGCCUGAUCCAGCAAUGCCGCGUGUGUGAUGAAGGCCUUCGGGUUGUAAAGCACUUUUGGCGGGAACGAAAAGGACUGUGCCAAUACCACGGUUCGAUGACGGUACCCGCAGAAUAAGCACCGGCUAACUACGUG
rnacentral:rRNA from 1 species